CAGGGGAAGGGGAAACCCUAGCUCAAGCAAAUCAAGCAAUUGAAUCCAAAUUCUCAAGCUAAUCCAGUGCAUGAGUCAUUAAAUUCGAAUAGCUAACCCCAAUUUCUUAAGUGGCGUGAAGGAAGAAGGUACGAGCACUAAGAAAACGGAAGGCACGCAAGACCGAGGUAAAUCCUCAAUUUAGGCGACUCGACGAAUUGGAGCGAGCACGUGUUCUUCAUAUGUGAUGCCAAGCGCUUCCGCUAGUUGAUACUAAUGUUUUGGGUCAAAAUAUCUUUUUGUACAAUUUGUUGGUAGACACACUUUUUAGCAUUCAAUGUUUUGGUUUUAGUAGUAUCUUGUAGAAUGGUAUUUGUCUUGAUUAUGGUUCA